rnacentral:lncRNA from 1 species
GGCUUUUCUUUCUUGGGAGAUUUUUGAUUACUGAUUCAGUCUCCUUAUACAUUAUUGGUCUGCUGAGAUUUUCUAUUCUUCAUAAUUUAAUUUUGGUAGGUGGUAUGUUUCUAGUAAUUUGUUCAUUUCUUAUAAGUUAUCUAAUUUAUUGGCAUAUAAUUAUUCAUAGUUGUCUCUUAUGAUCUUUUGAAUUUCCGUGGUAUGAGUUGUAAUGUCUCUUCUUUAAUUUAAAAUUUUACUUGAAUUCUCUCUUUUCCUAAAUUAGUCUAGCCAAGGGUUUGUCGACUUUCUCUUUUCAGAAAACCAACUCUUAGUCUCAUUGAUCUUUCUACUGUUUUUCUAUAAUAGUCUCUAUUUUCUCUAUUUUAUUUUUCCUGCUCUAAUUUUUGUUAUUUUCUUCCUUUGCUAACUUGAGGCUUGGCCUAUUAUUCUCUUACCUCCUUGAGGUAUAAAGUUAGGUUGUUUAGUUGAGAUAUUUCAUUUUUCUUAACGUAAGUUUUUUGAUUUUUUGCUUGUUUGUUUUUAAGACAGGGUCUUGCUCUGUUGCCCAGGCAGAAGCACAGUGAUGUGAUCAUGGCUCACUGCAGCCUCAACCUCCUGAGCUCAAGUGAUCCUUCCAUCUCAGCCUCCCAAGUAACUGGGACCACAGGCAGAUGCCACCAUGCCCAGUGACUCCGUUCACAUGCUCCCGUCUUGUCAUCAAGCCCUGUUCAUCUCUCACCAUCUCUCACCUGGACCAUUGCCAGUUUCUGAGCUGCCUGCUCUUGAAUACCAGCUUCCUGAAAAUAUCACCAAAACGAUCUGGUCCUCAGACAAAGCAGAGUCUAUUGCUCACUGCAGUAACAGAGAGCUCCGUCUUCAGAGUCUUGGUAACAUUUCGCUGAGAGGACAACCCAAUCACACUGUUUAGGAGAUUUUGGAUUCUGACUAAGGUGCCUGGAGCAAAAAUGUGUCCAGAAUUGGUGGGUUGUUGGUCUCGCUGACCUCAAGAACGGAGCCGUGGACCCUCGCGGGAAAAUACUAAAUUGCGCAUUGUAGCAGAGGGAAACAAGCUGGUGGUGGGAGCGGAUAGAAGAAAAUGAAGACGGCUCCAAACCUGGGGAGCGCGCAAGAAGAUGACACAAACUUUUGAAAUAACAUGAACACGGACAAGGGGAGUCAGAGGCAGAAGAGAAGGUGUUGUGAUGACAGAAGCAGAGAUCUGAGUGACUCACUUUGAAGAUGGAGGAAGAGGUCACAGGCCAAGUGAUACAGAUGCCAGGAGAAGCUGAAAACAGGAGGAAAUGGAUUCUUCCCUCAGAGCUUCUGGAAAAGAUCAGUCUUGCUGAUAACUUGACUUUAGCCCACUGAAACUGAUUUUGAACUUUUGACUUCCAGAACUACAGGGUCUCAUUAUUGUUGCCCAGACUCAUCUCAAACUC